UCAUUUCAGCAAGCAGCGUUA
rnacentral:miRNA from 1 species